AAUCCAUAGGUUAAUGAGGCGAACCGGGGGAACUGAAACAUCUAAGUACCCCGAGGAAAAGAAAUCAACCGAGAUUCCCCCAGUAGCGGCGAGCGAACGGGGAGGAGCCCAGAGCCUGAAUCAGCAUGUGUGUUAGUGGAAGCGUCUGGAAAGGCGCGCGAUACAGGGUGACAGCCCCGUACACAAAAGCGCAUGUGCUGUGAGCUCGAUGAGUAGGGCGGGACACGUGGUAUCCUGUCUGAAUAUGGGGGGACCAUCCUCCAAGGCUAAAUACUCCUGACUGACCGAUAGUGAACCAGUACCGUGAGGGAAAGGCGAAAAGAACCCCGGCGAGGGGAGUGAAAAAGAACCUGAAACCGUGUACGUACAAGCAGUGGGAGCCCCACCACCAAAGCAUUUGCUGUACCGCGUUGACGGAGCGAAGCGACGUCAAACCGAUAAAACAGCAGUGUAAAGUGAGCCGCAGGGCGCUUUGCGCG
rnacentral:rRNA from 2 species